rnacentral:rRNA from 1 species
AACGAACGCUGGCGGCAGGCUUAACACAUGCAAGUCGAACGCAUCCUUCGGGGUGAGUGGCAGACGGGUGAGUAACGCGUGGGAACGUGCCCUUCAGUUCGGGAUAACCCAGGGAAACUUGGGCUAAUACCGGAUACGUGCGAGAGCAGAAAGAUUUAUCGCUGAAGGAUCGGCCCGCGUCUGAUUAGCUAGUUGGUGGGGUAAUGGCCCACCAAGGCGACGAUCAGCAGCUGGUCUGAGAGGAUGAUCGGCCACACUGGGACUGAGACACGGCCCAGACUCCUACGGGAGGCAGCAGUAGGGAAUUUUCCACAAUGGGCGAAAGCCUGAUGGAGCAACACCGCGUGCAGGAUGAAGGCUUUCGGGUCGUAAACUGCUUUUACUAGUGACGAAUAUGACGGUAACUAGAGAAUAAGGAUCGGCUAACUACGUGCCAGCCGCCGCCGCAGUAA